GGCCAGCAGCCGCGGUAAUACGUAGGGUGCGAGCGUUAAUCGGAAUUACUGGGCGUAAAGCGUGCGCAGGCGGUUCGUUAAGUUCGUCGUGAAAGCCCCGGGCUCAACCUGGGAACGGCGAUGGAAACUGGCGGGCUAGAGUGCGGCAGAGGGGGGUGGAAUUCCACGUGUAGCAGUGAAAUGCGUAGAGAUGUGGAGGAACACCGAUGGCGAAGGCAACCCCCUGGGCUAGCACUGACGCUCAGGCACGAAAGCGUGGGGAGCAAACAGGAUUAGAUACCCUGGUAGUCCACGCCCUAAACUAUGUCAACUGGGUGUUGGGGAAGCGAUUCCUCAGUACCGCAGCUAACGCGUGAAGUUGACCGCCUGGGGAGUACGGCCGCAAGGUUAAAACUUAAAGGAAUUGGCGGGGGA
rnacentral:rRNA from 1 species